CCUUAUGACCUGGGCUACACACGUGCUACAAUGGGCAGUACAACGAGAAGCGAGCCUGCGAAGGCAAGCGAAUCUCUGAAAGCUGUUCUCAGUUCGGACUGCAGUCUGCAACUCGACUGCACGAAGCUGGAAUCGCUAGUAAUCGCGGAUCAGCACGCCGCGGUGAAUACGUUCCCGGGCCUUGUACACACCGCCCGUCACACCAUGGGAGUCUGCAAUGCCCAAAGCCGGUGGCCUAACCUUCGGGAAGGAGCCGUCUAAGGCAGGGCAGAUGACUGGGGUGAAGUCGUAACAAGGUAGCCGUAGGAGAACCUGCGGCUGGAUCACCUCCUUUCUAAGGAA
rnacentral:rRNA from 1 species